AGUGGGAUAGCUGGGUCAAAUGGUCCAUCCACUUCAAGUUUUCUGAGGAAUCUCCAUACUGCUUUCCAGAGUGGUUGCACCAAUUUACAUUCCCACCAGCAGU
rnacentral:pre_miRNA from 1 species